UAGUUGCUAGGUGUAGACCCGAAACCCGGUGAUCUAGCCAUGGGCAGGUUGAAGGUUGAGUAACAUCAACUGGAGGACCGAACCGACUAAUGUUGAAAAAUUAGCGGAUGACUUGUGGCUGGGGGUGAAAGGCCAAUCAAACCGGGAGAUAUCUGGUUCUCCUCGAAAGCUAUUUAGGUAGCGCCUCGGACGAACACCUUUGGGGGUAGAGCACUGUUAAGGCUAGGGGGUCAUCCCGACUUACCAACCCUUUGCAAACUCCGAAUACCAAAGAGUGCUAUCCGGGAGACAGACGGCGGGUGCUAACGUCCGUCGUCAAAAGGGAAACAACCCAGACCGUCAGCUAAGGUCCCAAAGUAAUUGCUAAGUGGGAAACGAUGUGGGAAGGCUUAGACAGCUAGGAUGUUGGCUUAGAAGCAGCCAUCAUUUAAAGAAAGCGUAAUAGCUCACUAGUCGAGUCGGCCUGCGCGGAAGAUGUAACGGGGCUAAGCAAUUCACCGAAGCUACGGGUACUGAUGCUUGCAUCAGUGCGGUAGAGGAGCGUUCUGUAAGCCGUUGAAGGCGAAGGGGUAACCCACGCUGGAGGUAUCAGAAGUGCGAAUGCUGACAUGAGUAACGAUAAAGGGGGUGAAAAACCCCCUCGCCGAAAGACCAAGGGUUCCUGUCCAACGUUAAUCGGGGCAGGGUGAGUCGACCCCUAAGGCGAGGCUGAAAGGCGUAGUCGAUGGGAAACGGGUUAAUAUUCCCGUACUUCUGCUAACUGCGAUGGAGAGACGGAGAAGGCUAGGCCGGCGCGGCGUUGGUUGUCCGCGUUUAAGGUAGUAGGUGGUGUGCUUAGGCAAAUCCGGGCACACAUACACUGAGAGCUGACGACGAGUCCC
rnacentral:rRNA from 1 species